AUUGAACGCUGGCGGCAUGCUUUACACAUGCAAGUCGAACGGUAACAGGCCGCAAGGUGCUGACGAGUGGCGAACGGGUGAGUAAUGCAUCGGAACGUGCCCAGUCGUGGGGGAUAACGCAGCGAAAGCUGUGCUAAUACCGCAUACGAUCUAUGGAUGAAAGCGGGGGACCGUAAGGCCUCGCGCGAUUGGAGCGGCCGAUGUCAGAUUAGGUAGUUGGUGGGGUAAAGGCCUACCAAGCCGACGAUCUGUAGCUGGUCUGAGAGGACGACCAGCCACACUGGGACUGAGACACGGCCCAGACUCCUACGGGAGGCAGCAGUGGGGAAUUUUGGACAAUGGGCGCAAGCCUGAUCCAGCAAUGUCGCGUGCAGGAAGAAGGCCUUCGGGUUGUAAACUGCUUUUGUACGGAACGAAACGGCCUGGGUUAGUACCCUGGGCUAAUGACGGUACCGUAAGAAUAAGCACCGGCUAACUACGUGCCAGCCGCCGCAGUAAUAC
rnacentral:rRNA from 1 species